CUGAGUCAGAGAAACUGCCAGCCGCCUCCAUGACAAGCCGCAUGUGAAGAUACUGGAGAGAAAAUGGUAAAAUAUGCCCUGGCUCUUCCACCUUCUACCUAAAAAUCCACUGACACGCUCCCUCUGAGCCAACUGCAGUUACUGGAUUCCUGGACCUGGCCUCCCUUCUCUGGUGCAACGUUGACUAUCAUUUUCUGUUAAUUAAUUUCCAUCUAGAGAUAAGUAAUGUAAUUAUAAACUGAAAGUAGAUGGAGAUAAAGUUACUCAGCCUCCAAGGAUGGCACACUCUUCAGUGACACAUUUAGAUGACAGAUGACACCAGAAGAAGGCAGCCAUCUUUAAGCCAAGAAGAAGAUCAUAACCACAAACCAAACAUGCAGUUACCUUGGUUUUGAACUUCCAGCAUGCCAAAACUGUGACAG